AAUAUUAAUGAAAAUAUUAAUGAAAAUGUUAAUGAAAAUGUUAAUGGAAAUGUUAAUGAAAACGCUACUACAAUAACAACCGAAAAUGCUACUGAAAAUACAACCGAAAGUGUUACUGAAAACAUUACCGAAAAUAUUGCUGAAAAUAUUACCGAAAAAAUUACUGAAAACGAUGCCAAAAACUUUUCUGAAAACAUUGUCGAAAAUAUUGUCAAAAAUAUUGCCGAAAACAUUGCCGAAAACAUUGCCGAAAACGUUGCUGAAAACAUUACCCAUAACACUAAAGACAAUACUACUGUUGAUAAAAACAAAAAAAAAACGUAUAUACAAAAAUUAGAUAAAAAUGAGCAAGAAAAAAGUAAAGAAAGCGAUUAUGAUGAUGAUACGUUUUUUUCAUGUUACGAAGAUAAAAAUGAUAUUUUAGAUAAAGAAAUAGAAAAAGAAAUUAAUUCAGACUAUCGUUUAUUAAGAGUGUUGUUUUUUCACUCCUAUUACACAGAAAUGUAUGACGUAAGAUGUAUAGUGUUAUAUAAUAAUAGUUUACUAUGUUUUAAUAAUAAUAAAAUUAUAGUAUUAAAUUUACUAUGGUUAAAAUUUCUUAAUGUUAUUUUACACUUAAUGUGUUUAAAAAAUAUAUUAACUGCAAAAUUACUACACGAGAUGUGUAAAAAUAGUUUAUAUAUGAAAGUAACUAUUUUCAAAUCAAAAAUAAAUUUUUAUGAAUUUGAUUAUUAUAAGUAUUUAUUAUUAGAUCAUAGUAGAAAAUUAUAUUAUAAAAAUUUUAUAAAAUUGUUUAAAAAAAAAGAAAAUGUGUUACUUAAAGGACACAAUGCUUGUUAUAGUGAUAAUGUUUGUGAUGACUAUACAUACACUAAUGAUGUUAGUACGGAUCACAGAUUUAUCGAUAGCACAUAUAAUAGCAAUAAUAAACGUUAUAAUACUGUUAAUAAUGUACAACUCAGUAGUGAAGAAAACAAAAAAAAUAAUUUUGAUAUUUUUCAAUCGAAUGUACUUUAUAAUGUACAAUAUGUUUUAUAUCCAAUAAUUAUUGAAGAUGAAGAUAGCAUAACAAAUGACAGUUUGAACGAUUUAUAUUUUAUUUUUACUCAUUAUGUAAAUUUAGAUUGUCAGAGAAAAGAAAAAUUAUUUAUGAAUGAAAAUAUUAAUUUUUUUACAUGUAAUAUAUAUAAAAAGUUAUUUUUAAUAUAUGAUUGUUUUAAAUUAAAUAUUUAUAAAAAUAAUGAUCAUUUAACAACUCAAAAUAUGCAGACAAAAACACAGUUAAUACAAAAAAAAAAUGUUAAUACUGUAAAUACUACAACACUUGUUACUACUAAUAAUAAUAACAAUAUGGCUACUAUUACUACGGUUGUUAAUAAUACUAAUAAAAGGAUUAAAAAAAAAACAAAGGAAAAAAAAAAUUACAAAUCUUUAUGUAUAUUAUCAAAACAUACGAAUAUUAGAAAUUACCUUAUUAAUGUGAACAUAGUAGAUGAUUAUUCAACAGAUAUUAAUAUAUACAAACAGUUAUAUUCUUUUUAUAUUAAUGCAAAAUGUAAUAAUUAUAUGAAUGAGUUAAUUAAAAAGGAAUUUGUUUUUUUUAAUGGAAAAGGAGACAUAACAGACGUUAUAAGAAAUGUGUUAUUUUUUAAGCAAAUAAAUAAAAAACAUAAAUAUACCUUUAUUAAUGAAAUCAAGCAAACGAACGCAUUUAAUCAUAAACGGUUGGAUAAUUACGCCACAAAUCAAGUAUAUAACAAAACUAUGUAUCAUAAUAACAAUGAAAACGAAAUAGAAGAUUAUAAAAACAGAACAAAAACCAAUGAAUACUGUAAUAACAAUUGGAUGCUUUACACAACUAAAAAUAAUGAUUCUUAUGAAGCUAAUUAUUCAUCAACCGUAAAUGAAAAAAAAGGUAUAGAACAACGUGGUUUUACUAAUUUUAUCGACAAUAAUAAUAAUUUGAUGGUAAAUCCUGUUAGUUAUAAUUCUCAAAAUAAGCAAAAUAUAAACACUAAAUUUGUCAAAAAUGGUAUUAUAAUAAGGGAUAGUGAUUUAACUGAUAAAAUAUGUUAUAAAACAGAUAAUGGAACUGUUGGUCAUGUAUUUGGUGAUAAAACUAGCGAAAACAUCACAAACGAUAUUAAUGACCUCUCCUUAAAAAUGUUUCAAAAUAUAUUUGUUUUAUUAUGUACAGAUAAUCAUGAUAAUAAAAAAGAGAUGUUAUCUGUAGAUUAUACUAAGGAUAACUAUAAAUUCCAUCUUAAUAAUAAAAUAAUAUCAAAAAUGGAUAAUCAAGUUUUAUACAAUAAUGACAAAGCAAAUGUAGAUUAUAAAGCGUUGAUAAGCGACAUAAAAAAUUAUAUACUAACAGAUUCUGUCAAAAUAAAUACAAAUGUAGAGUGUGCUAAAUUAAUAAAAAAACUAAUAAAAAUUAAAAAUGAUUAUAUACGUGUAAAAGAUUAUUAUUUAGAAAAAAAUAACAUAAAUGUAAGAUCAUUGGGUGAAUGUGAUAAAGUUAUGCUUUUAGAAAAAAUUAUAAAAACGUAUUAUUUUUUUUUAGGUUUAAAUUCUUAUUACGAGACAAAAUUUAAAAAAAUUCAAACACAAAUAAUUCAAAUAAUGGCAAAUAAAAUUAUCCAAUUUUUAAAAAAACAUGAUAGUAUACAACAUGU
ensembl:lncRNA